rnacentral:rRNA from 1 species
AAGAGACAGCAGUAGCCGCGGUAAUGCGAAGGGUGCAAGCGUUAAUCGGAAUUACUGGGCGUAAAGCGUGCGUAGGUGGUUUGUUAAGUUGGAUGUGAAAUCCCUGGGCUCAACCUGGGAACUGCAUUCAAAACUGACUGACUAGAGUAUGGUAGAGGGUGGUGGAAUUUCCUGUGUAGCGGUGAAAUGCGUAGAUAUAGGAAGGAACACCAGUGGCGAAGGCGACCACCUGGACUAAUACUGACACUGAGGUGCGAAAGCGUGGGGAGCAAACAGGAUUAGAUACCCCAGUAGUCCCUGUCUCUUAUAC